AACCUCAGAGAAGAUUCAGGUUUUAUGGAGGCCUGGUUAAGGAAAAAAAUACAAAUUAAAAAUACAAAAUUGCUAGAACCUCUCUCAAAAAAAGUCCAAAAGUCCACACAAGUAAGAAGUGUACAAGCUUCAUUUAUUCGUGGUAGAUGAAUAAAUUUGAGCAUCCAUUACUUGUAUAAAAAAUAAAAUAAGUGAGAAAAAAAUAUUAUCAACUUGACUUAUGUUAUUUUAAUUAUUUUUGACGUAUGGAAGGUUCUGGAGACAAUCAUGUUAUACUCACCGUUUUCAGUCAGACCUAGUCAUGAUAAUAAAAUGACUAGCCCAUAAAAAAAUUCCCUUACUCCUUCCCAGCCUUCACCCUGUAGUCGUGGUCUGCUUUUAUAACUUAGUCACUGAAGCCAGUGGCAGGUGCCAUCAGUUAGCAAAUGCCGUCAGUUAGCAAGUGCCAUCAGCUGCAAAGAUCAGAGGAAAUGAUCUCUCAUGUGACCAGAAGUC
rnacentral:lncRNA from 1 species